GGCCAAUGUAGCAUAGUGGUUUGAGUGUUGGUCUACAACUCUGGAGACCAGGGUUCAAUUCCGAGUUAGCCA
rnacentral:tRNA from 1 species